rnacentral:rRNA from 1 species
AUGGAGAAAGAAGUCUUAAGUGAAAAUCCUACCAUUGUUGCCAUGGUGAAAGAGAUGGAGAAGAAAUGGAUUAAAUAUUUUGAGGAGUCAUUCUUAACAAGUUGUAUGCCGGUGAUAUUUGAUCCGAGGUACAAGUACGAUUAUGUUCACUUCCGAUUGACUACAGCUUUUGGUGGUGGCGCCAACAAAUAUAUUACCAAGGUGAAGAAUUCGAUGAAGAUCCUAUUUGCUGAAUAUGCAUCUGAAUUUGGAAACACUUCUGAUGAAGGUGAUGAGCUUGUAGAGGAGGACGGGGAGGACACUCUUGAUGAUUGGGAUAAGCAUUUGAGAUUGAAAAGAUACCACAACUCGAAUGAGCUACAACGAUAUCUUGAAGAAGACUUGUUUCCUCGUCGACAGAAGUUGGAUAUCUUGAAGUGGUGGGAAAUCCACUCCCCAAAGUAUCCAGUGCUUGCGGCUAUAGCGCGGGGCAUAUUUGGCAGUGUCCGCGUCUACCGUGCCUGCGGGACAUAUUUGGCACUCUCAAAGAAUACAAUCAUUCUUUGUUGUCCUGGGAUUUUUUCUUUGGACCAUGUUGGAACCAUCUUAAGAGGAUUAACCUCGCGAGGCCCAGUCGCAAAAAAAAAACCUCGCGAGGCCCAAAAUCCUCGCAAAGCCCCGUCAGCCCGUUUGGUACGCGAGGUUAGAUGGGCCAAACCCCCUCGAUUCCCCUUCGAUCCACUUCUCCCCACGCGGUUCAGAACCCUCGAGGCUCGAGGAUUUGGCCGCCCGACACUCGCCAAGACGCCGCCGCCGACUCCUCCCCAAGACUACGCGCCGCUCGACGCCGGCGAUCUCCUCCGGCGUACUGGACUUCUCCCCGGUGGUAAGUCAUCGUCGCCCCUCCCCGAUCCUCUCCCGGGAGAAGCCAUGGCUUCCACCUCCCGCACGCCCUCCGUCCGCCUUGUCCUCACCGGCGAGCACGCCAAGAACGGCGUAUCCUACCCUAACCCUACCCGGCUAGCUCGCCAAGGACGCCGUCCUCUUCUAGCCCCUCUUAUACCCUAA